rnacentral:tRNA from 1 species
CCGUGGCUCAGUGGCAGAGCAUCUGCUUGGCAUGCAGAAGGUCCCAGGUUCAGUCUCAGGCAUCUUGA